AUCGCUUCUCGGCUCUCUGAGCUAAGAUCAUGUGUAGUAUCUGUUCUUUGCAGUGUAAUUUCUG
rfam:Trichobilharzia regenti genome assembly, scaffold: TRE_scaffold0037589